rnacentral:rRNA from 1 species
AUUGAACGCUGGCGGCAGGCCUAACACAUGCAAGUCGAGCGGAUGAAGGGAGCUUGCUCCUGGAUUCAGCGGCGGACGGGUGAGUAAUGCCUAGGAAUCUGCCUGGUAGUGGGGGAUAACGUCCGGAAACGGGCGCUAAUACCGCAUACGUCCUGAGGGAGAAAGUGGGGGAUCUUCGGACCUCACGCUAUCAUAUGAGCCUAGGUCGGAUUAGCUAGUUGGUGGGGUAAAGGCCUACCAAGCCGACGAUCCGUAACUGGUCUGAGAGGAUGAUCAGCCACACUGGAACUGAGACACGGUCAAGACUCCUAAGGGAGGCAGCAGUGGGGAAUAUUGGACAAUGGGCGAAAGCCUGAUACAGCCAUGCCGCGUGUGUGAAGAAGGUCUUCGGAUUGUAAAGAAGUUUAAGUUGGGAGGAAGGGCAGUAAGUUAAUACCUUGCUGUUUUGACGUUACCAACAGAAUAAGCACCGGCUAACUUCGUG